CUUCCUUUUACCCUACCCACCUUCACUUAAGUAGCUCUUUGCUAAAGAAUAUAGGGAGGAAAAGGGAGAGAGUUUUAAACAAUUUCAAAUGAUAUAUUGAGUCCUGUCAAAUAGAGCUAUAAUUCUUUAUAGGUAUAUACUGUACCAUGGGUCCACACAGACUAUGCUUAAUUAUUUCAGUUUAGUGAAAUUUCUGAAGAAACUAGAGAUGGAUACAAGUUUGUCUUGAUGAAAUCACAAGUAAGCAAGCAUCACUUUUAUGAAAGAUGCAUUUGUUCAUUUCAGGAAAAAUAGUAAACUAAUUCCUUUUGUACAAAAUAAUCAGAGAUUGUGUUGCACUUAUUGAAUUUUGUAAAACCAACCUAAUCUAAGUGAUAAAGUAACAAUUGAGAAACUUCAAGUAAGAACAGAUUUGUUGAUUUAAAAGGUAAACUGCCAUAAAAUUAAAUUUGAUGGACUGGCCAAAGUCUAUCAAGUUAUAUACAUAACAAAUAUAUUUAAAUUGUUCUCCAGCUUUAUGUGUUCAAAGAUGAUUGCAA
rnacentral:lncRNA from 1 species